rnacentral:rRNA from 1 species
AGUGAACGCUGGCGGUAGGCCUAACACAUGCAAGUCGAACGGCAGCACAGUAAGAGCUUGCUCUUACGGGUGGCGAGUGGCGGACGGGUGAGGAAUACAUCGUAAUCUACUUUUUCGGGGGGGAUAACGUAGGGAAACUUACUCUAAGACCGCAUACGACCUACGGGUGAAAGCAGGGGAUCUUCGGACCUUGCGCGAUUGAAUGAGCCGAUGUCGGAUUAGCUAGUUGGCGGGGUAAAUGCCCACCAUGGCGACGGUCCGUAGCUGGUCUGAGAGGAUGGUCAGCCACACUGGAACUGAGACAAGGUCCAGACUCCUACGGGAGGCAGCAGUGGGGAAUAUUGGACAAUGGGCGGAAGCCUGAUCCAGCCAUACCGCGCGGGUGAAGAAGGCCUUCGGGUUGUAAAGCCCUCUUGUUGGGAAAGAAAAGCAGCAGGUUAAGACCCCGCUGUUCUGACGGUACCCAAAGAAUAAGCACCGGCUAACUUCGUG